AUUGAAGAGUUUGAUCAUGGCUCAGGACGAACGCUGGCGGCGCGCCUAACACAUGCAAGUCGAACGGGACUAUUUUGGGAGAAGUUUUCGGAUGGAUCUCGGGAUAGUUUAGUGGCGGACGGGUGAGUAACACGUGAGCAACCUACCUUCGAGAGGGGAAUAACGGCUGGAAACGGUCGCUAAUACCGCAUAACAUACCGGAGGGACAUCCCUUUGGUAUCAAAGAUUUAUCGCUCGGAGAUGGGCUCGCGUCCGAUUAGGUAGUUGGUGAGGUAACGGCUCACCAAGCCGACGAUCGGUAGCCGGACUGAGAGGUCGAACGGCCACAUUGGGACUGAGACACGGCCCAGACUCCUACGGGAGGCAGCAGUGGGGGAUAUUGCACAAUGGGGGAAACCCUGAUGCAGCGACGCCGCGUGUGGGAAGACGGUCCUCUGGAUUGUAAACCACUGUCCCCAGGGACGAAGAUGACGGUACCUGGGGAGGAAGCUCCGGCUAACUACGUGCCAGCAGCCGCGGUAAUACGUAGGGAGCGAGCGUUGUCCGGAAUUACUGGGUGUAAAGGGAGCGUAGGCGGGACUGCAAGUUGGGUGUCAAAUCUACCGGCUCAACCGGUAGCCGCACUCAAAACUGCAGUUCUUGAGUGAAGUAGAGGCAGGCGGAAUUCCUAGUGUAGCGGUGAAAUGCGUAGAUAUUAGGAGGAACACCAGUGGCGAAGGCGGCCUGCUGGGCUUUUACUGACGCUGAGGCUCGAAAGUGUGGGGAGCAAACAGGAUUAGAUACCCUGGUAGUCCACACCGUAAACGAUGAUCACUAGGUGUGGGGGGUCUGACCCCUUCCGUGCCGGAGUUAACACAAUAAGUGAUCCACCUGGGGAGUACGGCCGCAAGGUUGAAACUCAAAGGAAUUGACGGGGGCCCGCACAAGCAGUGGAGUAUGUGGUUUAAUUCGAAGCAACGCGAAGAACCUUACCAGGUCUUGACAUCGUGCGCAUAUCCUAGAGAUAGGAGAAGCCCUUCGGGGCGCACAGACAGGUGGUGCAUGGUUGUCGUCAGCUCGUGUCGUGAGAUGUUGGGUUAAGUCCCGCAACGAGCGCAACCCUUGUAUUUAGUUGCUACGCAAGAGCACUCUAGAUAGACUGCCGUUGAUAAAACGGAGGAAGGUGGGGAUGACGUCAAAUCAUCAUGCCCCUUACGACCUGGGCAACACACGUACUACAAUGGCGUAUAACAGAGGGAAGCAAAACAGCGAUGUGGAGCAAACCCCUAAAAUGCGUCUCAGUUCAGAUCGCAGGCUGCAACUCGCCUGCGUGAAGUCGGAAUUGCUAGUAAUCGCGGAUCAGCAUGCCGCGGUGAAUACGUUCCCGGGCCUUGUACACACCGCCCGUCACACCAUGGGAGCCGGUAACACCCGAAGUCAGUAGCCUGACCGCAAGGGGGGCGCUGCCGAAGGUGGGAUUGGUGACUGGGGUGAAGUCGUAACAAGGUAACC
rnacentral:rRNA from 2 species